UACAGAGGCCCCAAGCGUUACUGAGAAUCACUGGGUUUAAAGGGUGCGUAGGUGGCGCGUUUAAGUCCGUUGUGAAAUCCCUUGGCUCAACCAAGGAAAUCGCUUCGGAUACUGGCGUGCGUUGAGGCUAGUAGGGGUCACUGGAACUGACGGUGGGAGCGGUGAAAUGCGUAGAUAUCGUCAGGAACGCCGAUGGUGAGACAGGUGACUGGGCUAGUUCUGACACUGAGGCACGAAAGCGUGGGAGCGAACGGGG
rnacentral:rRNA from 1 species